AAUUCUCAAUCCCUCUCUGGCCUUCGUGGUUGGAAUCUGGGACUUGGAAUGUGGAGGAUGUUGCAGGCCCUCUCUGUUUGUGGUCAGCUCCUCUGAAAUGCAUUAGCGGAAUUGUUUGCGAUCCAUCACAGGUGUGAUAAAUAUCUGCGCCUAUGGGUUGCUCUCAUUAUUCAGCUUACAACAGUUUCCCUAAAGGAAACAGUAUUUUGACCUU
rnacentral:misc_RNA from 1 species